rnacentral:rRNA from 1 species
AGGGAAUAUUGCAAAAUGGGCGAAAGCCCGAUGCAGCAACGCCGCGUGGGCGAUGAAGGCCUUCGGGUCGUAAAGCCCUUUUUGAGGGGAUGAGGAAGGACAGUACCCUCAGAAUAAGCCUCGGCUAACUACGUGCCAGCAGCCGCGGUAAAACGUAGGAGGCGAGCGUUAUCCGGAUUUACUGGGCGUAAAGCGCGUGCAGGCGGAUUGGAGAGUUGGAUGUGAAAGCUCCCGGCUUAACUGGGAGAGGUCGUUCAAUACUUCCAGUCUUGAGUGCAGUAGAGGGAAGUGGAAUUCCGGGUGUAGUGGUGAAAUGCGUAGAUAUCCGGAGGAACACCAGUGGCGAAAGCGGUCUCUUGGUCCGACACUGACGCUGAGGCGCGAAAGCGUGGGGAGCAAACA